rnacentral:rRNA from 1 species
GACGUAGGGGGCGAGCGUUGUCCGGAUUUAUUGGGCGUAAAGCGCGCGUAGGCGGUUGCGCAAGUCGGUUGUGAAACCCCGGGGCUCAACCCCGGAACUGCAUCCGAUACUGCGUGGCUAGAGGUAGGUAGGGGAGAUCGGAAUUCCUGGUGUAGCGGUGAAAUGCGUAGAUAUCGAGAGGAACACCGGUGGCGAAGGCGAGUCCCUGGACAACUCCUGACACUGAGGCACGAAAGCUAGGGGAGCAAACAGG